UAUUUUUAAAAACAGCUGUGAAGCAAAUUUUAGCGUUGCCAGAUACAAAUUUUAAUACAUUUAUGAUAUAACAUUGCCAGCACAAAGUUUUGAAAAUUAUUUCGUUUAAGAGGUUUAUUUUGUAUGGGCAGAUAAAUUUCGUGAAGAAAAAAAAUUUAUUUUAUCCGGUUUUUUCUGGUAAGCGGUUUUUCUUUUAAGCGGUCUUAUUUAGAUGAAAAUUCUUAAGUGGUCCAAGGUGUUUCAAAUUUGUUUCUUAUAAACGGACUUUUCUUAUAAGCGGGUUUCUUAUACGCGGAGCGUACUGUAUAUAGAUAUGAGGGCUGAGGUAAUUUCUGAACCGAUUUCAUUCAUUUUCACCAGCAAGGUACACUAUAUCCAAGACUAUACGCUCACUUCAUAUUGCUAAGAUAUCUCAUAUAUUAACCAAUACAUAAAUGUGGAAUAAAGCCCAACGUAUUUUUGAAAAACCUAUAAUUAUUAUAGGUAUAUGGGAACUAGGAGAUGUUAUGGCCAGAUUUUAAUAAUUAUCACAUUAUUAGAAAAAAAACAAUUUCUUCUGAAUUACAUUAAAUUAUCUGAGAGAUUUACCCAUAUUUUCGGUUAAAAUUUACCCUUAGGCGCUGAAUUCAAUAUGUUCGAUAUGUGGGGCUUUGAAAAGUUAUAGUCCGUUUUCGACAGAUGGCAGACUUGUGCAUUUUGACAGUUGAUUGUGACAUUUGUUUAUUUAUUACAAACGAGAAAUAAAAAUUGAUAAGAAAGAGUUAUUACUGGCAAUUUUGGUAUUUUUGGAAAACAAAAAGAAAUUUAACGAAAGAAUUCAAUUGUUAUUAAAUACAUUAAAAGAUAAUGAAGUGCAAUUAAAAGCAAUAGUAGAUUUUAACGAAAUCAUACAAGCUGGACUUGUAAUCGCUCAGGCGCACCAUCGACAUAUUUGGAAAUUCGAUCGAGGAGGUAUAUUUUGGGAGCACGAUGUCCCAACCAUGGAUGACUCAAGGUUCAAAGAAAAUUUUCGGCUAGAUAGAAGGGCAUUCAAGAAAGUGUGCGAAAAGGUAAAGGGUAUUGAAAAAAUGGAUAGCAACAUGAGGCGCUGUAUCCCACUUGAAAAAAGAGUAGUUAUAGCACUAUUUUCCUUGGGUUCGUCAGCGGAAUAUUGGACUGUUGCUAGUUUGUUUGGCAUUGGGCGUAGCACAGUUGGUGAAAUUGUGAUCGAUUUUUGUCAUGAAGUAUGUGAUACUCUUGCGGAUUGCGUUAAUGCAUACCCGACGCAUCCGCAAGAAUUAAGAAGAAUUGUAGAAGGUUUCAAAUUGAUGGGGUUCCCACAAUGCUUUGGUGCUGUAGAUGGCUGCCACAUCGAAAUCCAGCCCAAAAAAGACUAUUACAAUUAUAAAGGCUGGUAUUCAGUCAUUUGGUUGGCAAGCUGUGAUCACAGGAUCCACUGGGAGAAAUAAUGACUCGUACAUAUUUGAGAGGAGUUCACUUAAGAAAUUACAUGAACACGCUCGUAUUUUUAAGGAAAAUAACGAAAUAAUUGAAGGCAUCAAUGUACCUGUGCUUCUUACUGGCGACUCAGCUUUUCGUUUAUCACAUCACAUGAUGAAACCAUAUCCAUAUGGGGUUAAUCAAUCGCCUGUUGAAAAGCACUUUAAUUAUCGACUGUCGCCGAGUGAUCAAAAUACCUUUGGUCAACUUAAAGCGCGCUUCCGUAAAGUUGGAAGAGGCUUGCAAGUUGCUCCUAAAAAUGUUAAUAUUACUAUAAUUAGAGCAUGUUGCAUUUUGCAUAAUUUUCUAAAGAAUGAGAACGAUGAAGUUAUUCCCGCAUGGAUACAAGAAGCAGCAGAAGAUGAAAGAAGACAUCAACCCAAUCACACAACAAGAUUAGGAGAAAAUGACCAAACAGCGACAGCGGUUAGGAAUGCCAUAGCAAUCAGAUUUCAAAACGGUGCAAAUUACGUUACUUACCACUGUAGCUGUUUUAUUUUUCAUUUCAAAUUUCCUUUUUUAAAUUCAUUUUUAUUAUUAAUAAAUUCAAUUAUUUACA